GACGAACGCUGGCGGCGUGCUCAACACAUGCAAGUCGAACGGAAAGGCCCUGCUUUUGUGGGGUGCUCGAGUGGCGAACGGGUGAGUAACACGUGAGUAACCUGCCCUUGACUUUGGGAUAACUUCAGGAAACUGGGGCUAAUGCCGGAUAGGAGCUCCUGCUGCAUGGUGGGGGUUGGAAAGUUUCGGCGGUUGGGGAUGGACUCGCGGCUUAUCAGCUUGUUGGUGGGGUAGUGGCUUACCAAGGCUUUGACGGGUAGCCGGCCUGAGAGGGUGACCGGCCACAUUGGGACUGAGAUACGGCCCAGACUCCUACGGGAGGCAGCAGUGGGGAAUAUUGCACAAUGGGCGGAAGCCUGAUGCAGCAACGCCGCGUGCGGGAAGACGGCCUUCGGGUUGUAAACCGCUUUCGCCUGUGACGAAGCGUGAGUGACGGUAAUGGGUAAAGAAGCACCGGCUAACUACGUG
rnacentral:rRNA from 1 species